GGCACUUGAAGACUUGUGUACGGCGAAAGCUCUUUGAAAAGCAACAACAAAGGUUUUUUUGAAGCAACAAAUCCAGUUGAUGCAGAAAGAGCAAAAACAAGUGGAGAUUCAGCUUCCAAUCGAGUGAAGCUUACAAAGCUUGAAUGCAUUUUUUGGCCAGAAUCCUCAGGUUGGUUUUUGUAAGGAUCUAUUGGUUGUUUGAGAGGGUGGAGAAGAGAUAUGUUUCUUAAUACAAAGCUACAGGUAUUUGAAUUAGGGGUGUUUAUGGUUGCUGCAGGUUUUUUGAAUAUGGAGUUCUAAACUUUGCUGUUCAAAGGGUAAAAGUCUAGUGAAAGGUAAAAUGAGUAGGUGACCUGCGACUUGGCUGCUCAACUGCUGUAAAUUUGGUGUUUCUUUGCCAAAUGCCAACAGGUUGUAUCAUGGCUGGUGGUGGUGGAUAUUUUGUUUUAUGUUAGUUUGGACUUUGGAAGUAGUUGGCUUGGCUAUUGUAUUAUGCAUGUGAAUGAGAUAAAUCCAAAGUCCCAAGUCCCAACCUUUAAAUGUAAUUAUGUAUUAUGUAAAAAUGUAUUGGCUCCUUAUAAUUAUGUAUUAUGUAAAUAUGCACUGGCUCCUUAAUCUUGAAAAUAUUAAUCAAGAAGCUUCUCCUCUGGAUU